rnacentral:tRNA from 1 species
GUCAGGAUGGCCGAGUGGUCUAAGGCGCCAGACUCAAGGCGCUGCCUUCCCGCAGGUUGGGGGUUCUGGUCUCCGUGUGGAGGCGUGGGUUCAAAUCCCACUCCUGACA